UACGUAGGGUGCGAGCGUUAAUCGGAAUUACUGGGCGUAAAGCGUGCGCAGGCGGUUUUGUAAGCCGGAUGUGAAAUCCCCGGGCUUAACCUGGGAAUGGCAUUCGGGGACUGCAAGGCUGGAGUGCGGCAGAGGAGACUGGAAUUCCUGGUGUAGCAGUGAAAUGCGUAGAUAUCAGGAGGAACACCGAUGGCGAAGGCAGGUCUCUGGGCUGACACUGACGCUCAUGCACGAAAGCGUGGGGAGCGAAA
rnacentral:rRNA from 1 species